CCUACGGGCGGCAGCAGUGGGGAAUAUUGCACAAUGGGGGAAACACUGAUGCAGCGACGCCGCGUGAGUGAAGAAGUAUUUCGGUAUGUAAAGCUCUAUCAGCAGGGAAGAAAUAAAGUCCUUCGGACUUUGGACGGUACCUGACUAAGAAGCCCCGGCUAACUACGUGCCAGCAGCCGCGGUGAUACGUAGGGGGCAAGCGUUAUCCGGAUUUACUGGGUGUAAAGGGAGCGUAGACGGCAGCUCAAGUCUGGAGUGAAAUCCCAUGGCUUAACCAUGGAACUGCUUUGGAAACUGUGCAGCUGGAGUGCAGGAGAGGUAAGCGGAAUUCCUAGUGUAGCGGUGAAAUGCGUAGAUAUUAGGAGGAACACCAGUGGCGAAGGCGGCUUACUUGACUGUAACUGACGUUGAGGCUCGAAAGCGUGGGGAGCAAACAGGAUUAGAUACCCGGGUAGUC
rnacentral:rRNA from 1 species